AGAGUUUGAUCCUGGCUCAGGACGAACGCUGGCGGCGUGCUUUACACAUGCAAGUCGAACGGUGAACUCGGUGCUUGCACCGGGGGAUCAGUGGCGAACGGGUGAGUAACACGUGAGCAACCUGCCCUUAGCUCUGGGAUAACUGCGGGAAACCGCAGCUAAUACCGGAUACGACCCAGGGAGACAUCUCCACUGGGUGGAAAGUUUUUCGGCUAGGGAUGGGCUCGCGGCCUAUCAGCUUGUUGGUGGGGUAACGGCCUACCAAGGCGACGACGGGUAGCCGGCCUGAGAGGGCGACCGGCCACACUGGGACUGAGACACGGCCCAGACUCCUACGGGAGGCAGCAGUGGGGAAUAUUGCACAAUGGGCGAAAGCCUGAUGCAGCGACGCCGCGUGAGGGACGAAGGCCUUCGGGUUGUAAACCUCUUUCAGCAGGGAAGAAGCGAAAGUGACGGUACCUGCAGAAGAAGCACCGGCUAACUACGUGCCAGCAGCCGCGGUAAUACGUAGGGUGCAAGCGUUGUCCGGAAUUAUUGGGCGUAAAGAGCUCGUAGGCGGUUUGUCGCGUCUGCUGUGAAAACUCAGGGCUUAACCCUGAGCCUGCAGUGGGUACGGGCAGACUAGAGUGCGGUAGGGGAGAUCGGAAUUCCUGGUGUAGCGGUGGAAUGCGCAGAUAUCAGGAGGAACACCGGUGGCGAAGGCGGAUCUCUGGGCCGUAACUGACGCUGAGGAGCGAAAGCAUGGGGAGCGAACAGGAUUAGAUACCCUGGUAGUCCAUGCCGUAAACGUUGGGCGCUAGGUGUGGGGCUCAUUCCACGAGUUCCGUGCCGCAGCUAACGCAUUAAGCGCCCGGCCUGGGGAUACGGCCGCAAGGCUAAAACUCAAGGGAAUUGACGGGGGCCGGCACAAGCGGGCGGAGCAUGCGGAUUUAAUUCGAUGCAACGCGAAGAACCUUACCAAGGCUUGACAUACAGCGAAAACUGUCAGAGAUGGCAGGUCCUUACGGGCGCUGUACAGGUGGUGCAUGGUUGUCGUCAGCUCGUGUCGUGAGAUGUUGGGUUAAGUCCCGCAACGAGCGCAACCCUCGUUCUAUGUUGCCAGCGGAUAAUGCCGGGGACUCAUAGGAGACUGCCGGGGUCAACUCGGAGGAAGGUGGGGAUGACGUCAAAUCAUCAUGCCCCUUAUGUCUUGGGCUUCACGCAUGCUACAAUGGCCAGCACAAAGGGCUGCGAGACCGCAAGGUGGAGCGAAUCCCAAAAAACUGGUCUCAGUUCGGAUUGGGGUCUGCAACUCGACCCCAUGAAGUCGGAGUCGCUAGUAAUCGCAGAUCAGCAACGCUGCGGUGAAUACGUUCCCGGGCCUUGUACAC
rnacentral:rRNA from 1 species